rnacentral:rRNA from 1 species
UACAGAGGGUGCAAGCGUUAAUCGGAAUUACUGGGCGUAAAGCGUGCGUAGACGGUCAUGUAAGUCGGGUGUGAAAGCCCCGGGCUCAACCUGGGAAUUGCAUUCGAGACUGCAUGGCUAGGGUGCGGAAGAGGGAAGCGGAAUUUCCGGUGUAGCGGUGAAAUGCGUAGAUAUCGGAAGGAACACCAGUGGCGAAGGCGGCUUCCUGGUCCAGCACCGACGUUCAGGCACGAAAGCGUGGGGAGCAAACAGG